UUUCAAAUCAGCAUUAUAACCUCCAAUAUGAGGGAAGGAUUGAGGUGGAUCACCACCAGUUCCUCGCCUUAAACUAGAUUGGGGUGAUGUACUACCACCUGACCUUACUUUUGGUCUCGCUCCUGAAUUAGGGGGGUCAGACAAAUCAGGUGCACUUGGAGUCCCGCCACGAGGUUUUCCAUCCUUUCCACCAUCUUUAUUCUUUCCAAAGAAGUAACCACAAUUUUCAC
rnacentral:antisense_RNA from 1 species